UGGCGGGCGGGGCUGCCUGCCCGCCGGACGUGGCGGCUGCGGGGGGCCGGGCCCCGCCGUCAGGCCCUCGGGGUCCGCUCUCCCCGCAAUACCUGCUGCUGCUGCGGCACGUAGCUGUGCCGCCCGCCGAACGGUGGGCGGCUUGGGGCCGGUUGUGGCCGCCCCUGCGGAGCGCGGCCUGUGUUGCUGAGGCGGUGGGUCUGAGGUGGCGGGGGGUGACCCCGCCCUCUUCCCGCCUUCCCGGGAGCCAGGUCGUUCCCGGCACGAGCGUGACGCCCUGUUUUCAGCCGAUUCAUGCCUCCGAGGCAUGUCCCUAAAACUCUGGGAGGGUUCCGGAGAGGUGACAUGCCACGGGUGUCAUUGGGCCUCGCGAACUGCGUUUCGGUCACCGCAAACCGUUGCUUCAUUGGCCUUUCAGACUGGGGUUUGUAUUAGAGGUACCUCUCUCCAAAUACAGUCCCUCAUGCUACGCUUUGGGUUUUUUAUUUUAACCCGUUUCUCUGGCCCGAAGCUGCACCGUGUCGAGUGAGCACUGGAACCGUCUCUGCUGAGAAAUAAUUACUUCGAUAUCGAAGACACUGGACUGAAGUAACAUCAGGUCUUCAGUGGAGUAAAGGGAAUUUUUGAACUAACAGUGUGCCACCUCAGUGAGGUACAGCAUGGAAAUGAAGUGAAAAUGAAAUGCCACUUCCUCCAGCGGGCUGAGGAGCUAGCAGAAUUCCCUGUCAGGACUAUGCGUGGGCUCCACACCACAUCUCCAGACCCUUCAGCAGACCCUUGGAGCAGCCUGGGAGCAGCUGAGGUUUAGUAAAUUCAUCUGAAAAUGACAGUGAGCUUACCAGCCAAGCAAAGGCAACAGCACCUCUGCAAACCACUGAAGUACAGUCUUCUGCUUCUGAACAUGGUCACCUGCCAUCAGUGAAGAACUGGCCAAGGCCACUAGAGCAGCAACAAAGUAAAGACAUUUUCAGGACCCAGGAGCACGUUUCUGAGUGAAGGAAGAGAACUGGAGGAACAUGCCAAGGAGACUUCUUUGGGAAGGAGAUUCACAUGAGGUUAUGGCCACGUUGGUGCAUCUGUCAGCCAGGACUUCAGGUCUGGUUGUUCCAGAUGAGAUGACUGGUUCCAGUUUUGCUGACAGAGGUGGGAACAGAGCUGAGCUGAGACCCUCACCCAGCAGCAGAGGUCUUAACAACCAUAUGAACCAUAGGAAAAGAAGCCAGACCUUACAUCAUCAGAAGCUCAAUCUCUGAGCAUCCAUGGGAGAAUCAAUCAGGGUAUGGACUCAAGUAUCAAAAGAAAGACAGAGCAAAUUUCUUAAACUGUGAGUUUGCAGAAUUGAAAGGAGAGGACCUCAUUGCCUGCAAGGUCCAAGAAGCCCAGAAUGACCCAACUGCGGCCUGAGCUCCAUCCCACAGAUGUUUUACAGCCAUCAAACCUUCCCUGCUGAGAUAUCUGAGCUGGUACCCAGCGAGCUGCAGUGCCCAGGCAGAGCUAUCACAGGAAGCCAUCUGUGCAAAGGCAGCCUUGGCAGGAAACCCAGCCAGGCCAGCAGCCAUUUAUUAUUAUUAUUUCUCUCCCUGACACUUUUCUCCUUGACACUUUCCCUAAACGACACCGGAGAGGAAGAAAUGUCGGCACCACCAAUUCCAGCGCUGAAUAACUCUUUGUCUUUGGGAGCGGGAUUCAGCGGGAGGCAGAAGGAAAUCAACAGCCAGUUCUGCUGAGAGAAGUAAACAUUUGCAGAUGGGAAAACUGAGGCAAAGAGGUAUUAAUGGAACUUGCUCAAGGUGAAAAAAAGAAAAAAAGAGGAGUUUCUUGUGAUGAUCGGUCAUCUGUCCUGGUGGGACACAAGAGUUCUCAGCUGGAAAUGUCAAAUUUCACAGUCCAGAGCAAGUUUAUUAUAUGUAAACACAUUAAAGGAAUUAACAGGACCAGAACUCUGCCUCCAGUAUCUAAUGCCACAGAGACUGGGAGAUGCUGGAAUUGCUGUAAGAGUUUUCACCCCGGCGCUGUAAAUCCGUCCUUUCCGGGAUGUGCUGAUGGAGAGGAGGAGGAAGGGUGGGAGGAGAAAGAAGAGAU